GCCUAUUUGGACAGUUGGUCACCUGCUGGCCAAGGGGUAAGAUUUAAUGAUUUGAAACCUCUUUUGUGAGAAGCAGGACACAUAUACCUCCAUUUUGAUGUAUUUUUUAUGGGUGUGGAGUGAGAUUUGUGAGCGUGGGAGCGAUAUAUUCGAGCGAGGUUCUGUCCAUCAGAGACGAGGUCUGCACUCUAGCUGAUGACAUCAUCACUCUAAACUCUCCAAUACACACCCAUUAUAAAGCUUGAAAUUUGCUGAAAACCACAAGUUGCAUGAAGCUAAAUUGUGGAAGAACUGUAGAAGAUAGCACAAAAAAGUGAAUACAACAUUAAUAGCCGACAAGUUAAUGAACAUUUUAAAGCAAAAAUGAGGUCUCUAGGUGAAAGUAUGCUGAAGUUAUAAGGCUUAGAAGGUGGAAGAAUAAAAGGAAGAUAUGGAAGAUUUCCCCAUUGACUUCAAUGUUAAAAUUUUUGCACAAAAAGUUUAAAAAAAACAAAAAGUAUAAAAGGUAGAAGAGUGAAAAGUAAUAGCUAUCAUGUCCUGAAGGAGUGGAAUAGUUUAAAGUUUGAACGGUUGAAAUCGGACAAAGUUUGAAGGAGGAGAAGCGGUCCAAAAAAGGUACGGAAGAAUAAUAAUAAGUUGAAUAAAGAAACAGGAGAAUAACAAUAAGUGGAAAUGCUUAAUCAGCAUUUCCACUUAACUAGAAAAAUUGCAUUUCCUUGCAGAAAAUGCGUGGAAAUGCUGAGUGCUGAAAGCUGAAAAAGCAAUGCAAAACUGCUAAUAAAACAUGGAGAAAUGUAUAAAUGUUAAAGCUGUCUAAGGGGUGUGAAAGAAAUGUAAGUUGGAUAAUUGAUUAAUUGGUUGAAGGACAAAUAGUAUGAAUAUGCUCUAUAAAAAGAAAUUUUAUUCAUGCUGAAAGAGGCUAGAAAAAUGUCUAAAAUUGCACAAAGUUUGAAUGAAGAAGGAAAUUGCCUUAAAAGGCAGGAAGGUGAGAAGUGGCAUAAGUUUAAUUUUUUAAGUAUGAGAAAGGUUUGAAUCAGUUUGAAUCAGUUCAAAUUAGUUUGAAAAAUUAAAUGAUACAUCAUCACUGAGUGACUUUAAAAUGUGAAAAAUCUAAAUGUAUAUAAAUCCUAAAUACACCCCAUAAUGUCCUCAAUGAGCUCAAAUUUUAAAGCCCUGAAUGGUUUCUGUAGGUCAAAGGUCAUGUGAGGAGAUAGGGGCUGAAGUUUUUUCAAGCACUCUAGUAAAGGGUUUUAAGUGUCAUCCCCAGUGCUAUGUGUGCUGAGCCUGGCUUCAUGUGUCUCAUAUGGCCAUUAGAAGCAGCUUUCCAGUCAGCUGUGUGUCUCUAGGUGCACUAAUUGGUUGCCAUGGGGACCUUGGAUGCAUAACUAUAGCAGGAGAAAGAAGGCUUGAAGCUAAGGAAACAGGACUCCAAGAAGGCCCUGACGCUCAUCCUCUGUAUCUAUUCCUGAUAAGGAGCUUGUGAGAACACAAGACUCUGCUAAACACAUUAAUACAAUUUAUUAUCACAAUCCUCAAAACACCCCAUAAUAUCUUCAAUGAGCUGAAUUUUUGAAGCCCAGAAUGGUUUCUGUAGCUCAAAGUUUGUGGGUGGAGAUAGGUGGCGAAGCAGACACAUAUUAACUGUGUGUACAAGCAGCUGAACUGCAAGGUAGACCUCAUAAAGCAACAAGUACAAGAAUGUGUGUGUGUGUGUGUGUGUGUGUGUGUGUGUCUCGUUAAUGACUGCAUCCUAAACAGCUGUGAGAUCAAAGGCAAAUCACUGACCUACUGUUUGAAUGAGAAGCAGCUGAACUGCAGAGGAUUUAGAGGCUCUAAACUUCUUCACAUAGCGUGAUUUCCUUAAGUCACAGAAUGAAAAUAAGAACAUCGUACGAAUCCUCCGCCCUUCAUGAACACAAUGAUGUAUUUUUCAUGUCUGUACUCCGACAAAUGUGGCCACAACAGCGAGUUAAAAAAGUCUGAGCCUGAGCGAUGAUCCGGAUUUUCUUGGCGAAAAAUAACAUUAUGGUCAAUGGGAGAGAUUUCCGCCUUCUUUGGACAGUUGGUCACCUGCUGGCCAAGGGGUACGAUUUAAUGAUUUGAAACCUCUUUUGUGAGAAGCAGGACACAUAUACCUCCAUUUUGAUGUAUUAUUUGUGUCAGUGGAGUGAGAUUUGUGGGCGUGGGAGCGAUAUAUUCGAGCGAGGUUCUGUCGAUCAGAGACGAGGUCUGCACUCUAGCUGAUGACAUCAUCACUCUAAACUCUCCAAUACACACCCAUUAUAAAGCUUGAAAUUUGCUGAAAACCACAAGUUGCUUAAAGCUAAAUUGUGGAAAAACUGUAAGAGAUAUCAAAAAACUGAGUACAACUUUAAUAGUCGACAAGUGAAUGAACAUUUUAAAGCAAAAAUGAGGUCUCUAGGUGAAAGUAUGCUGAAGUUAUAAGGUCUAGAAGGUGGAAGAAUAAAAGGAAGAAUUGGAAGAUUUCCCCAUUGACUUCAAUGUUAAAAUUUUUGCACAAAAAGUUAAAAAAAACAAAAAGUAUAAAUGUUAGAAAAGUGAAAAGUAAUAGCAAACGUGUCCUGAAGGAGUGGAAUAGUUUAAAGUUUGAACGGUUGAAAUCGGACAAACUGGGAAGGAGUUGAAAGCGGACGAAAAACGGCGGAAGAAUAAUAAUAAUAAUAAUAAUAAUAAUAAUAAAGAAACGGGAGAAUAACAAUAAGUGGAAAUGCCUAUCAGCAUUUCCACUUAACUAGAAAAAUUGCAUUUCCUUGCAGAAAAUGCGUGGAAAUGCUGAGUGCUGAAAGCUGAAAAAGCAAUGCAAAACUGCCAUUAAAAAAUGGAGGAAGGUAUGAAUGGAAAAACUGUUGAAAAGGUGGAGUAGAAGAAGAAAUUGUAUGAAUGGAAGAAUUGUAGUAUAGCUUAAGGUAAAUUAGUUGGAUUAAUGUACAAAUUGUCUGAUAGCCUAAGUGAAAAAUGUAUAUGAUUGAUGUGAAUAAACAGAACUGAUAUGGAUAAUUGAAUUUGAAAAACAAAUGCCUUUAAACAAUGUGUAACAAUGUUCCUAUUAAAUGUACAAAUAGUAAAACAGAUUUUUGCAGUCUGCAGCAUCCAACCAUAGUAACUUGAGAAUGCAGAACAGCACCAUCUAUUGCCCUGCUUCAGUUACUGCCCUACAUCUGAAUGUAGAAAGUAUGAAACAGCUGAAGUUAAAUUAAUUGUAUAAAUGUAGAAAGUAUAGAAAAGAAAAGCAAAAGUAGAAGAAAAAGAAGAAGUUAGUAUGUUAAAAGAGUUAAAGACAAUAACUGUAAAAACAAAGUUAAUAUUGGGGGUGUAUUUUCUACUGACAGAGAGACAGUAAUGCACACAUGGAAACAGUGUGUGUGUGUGUGUGUGUGUGUGUGUGUGUGUGUGUGUGUGUGUGUGUGUGUGUGUGUGUGCGCGCGCGCACGAGCGGCCGAGCCCGUGCGUGUGUCAUCGAAGCACACAGCCCAUGACAAGUGCAGAAUCUCUGGCUCUGAACGAAUGUAUUCACCUCUUGGGCAAACUGUACAAUUUGAUGACUUCAGACCUAUUUUGUGAGAAGCAGGACGAGUGUACCUCCAUUUUGAUGUGUUUUUUAUCGCUGUGGAGUGAAAAUUGCGGCCGUGGCAGCAAAAUAAUCAUGCUUGGUCUAGUGAAUCCAAAAGGCUCCGCCCGCAUCUAGUGAUGACGUCACACGCUGUAGCGUGAGUCAGGCUGAAAAAGGCAGAAAACUUCAUGUUGCUCCAAGCGAAAUUGUGCAAAAACGGUAGGAAAUAGCAAAAAGGAGUGAAUACAACAUUUGUAGCAGACACGUUGCUGAACAUUUUAAAGCAAAAAUGAGGUCUGUAGGUGAAAGUAUGCAGAAGUUAUAAGGGUGAGAAGGUGUUAUAGCUUUAUCUCCAUUCAUUUGUAAUGGAACAAAUUUUGCAGAAAAAGUGAAAUAUUGCAAAAAGUAUAAAUGGUAGAAAGGUGAAAAGUACUAGCAAUAAUGUCCUGAAGGAGUGCAUUAGUAUAAAGUUUGAAUGGUAAAAAUAGCACAAAGUGGUAAGGAGUUGAAAAGGGCCAAAAAAGGUACGGAAGAAUAAUAAUAAAAAUAAUAAUAAUAAUAAAGAAAUAGUAGAAUAACAAUAAGUGGAAAUGCUGUGUCAGCAUUUCCACUUAACUAGAAAAGUUGCAUUUCCUUGCAGAAAAUGCGUGGAAAUGCUGAGUGCUGAAAGCUGAGAAGCCAAGCAUGCAAAACUGUGAAAAAAAUGGAGGAGAGUAUAAAUUAAAAAAAUUGUUAAAGGGGUGAAGUGUAAUAAGUAGAAGUUGUGUGAAUGUUUAAACCGUAACAGAACUGAAGAAGAUAUUGAAAAAGAGAUGAGUUAUAUGGAUGUAAAAACACUGGGAGAGGUAAACCAGAAGCUGUAUGAAUAUUCAGAUUGCUUAAGAACUGAACUUGAACAUUACAGAAAAUAUGGUAAAGAAUUUUAAAGAUGGCUGAAAAGGCCUUCAUGUUGGACGAAGUAGAAAUGAAUUUAAAUGAGACAUGAACACAUUACACAAAUAUAUUUAAUUUAAAAUUUGCAUCAACUUAAAAAAUUAAAACUGAGUUUUUACAUAAGUAAAACCAAAAGAAAGAAAAAAAAAUUGUCAAUCCUUUAACAUUUUGUGAGCAAUGAAAUGAUUAAUCAUAAAACAUUAAAAAAAAUUAAAACAAAACAUCAAAACAUAAACACAUAAAGAAACAAUGUUCCAUAGUGCCUUAAAUCAAAUUAUAAACAAUUUGUUUGUGAACAGGUUUUGGAAGCAGAAAUCUUUACAUGGGUGACCAAUCUGUCUCUUAAGCCUGAGGUUUUAAGAUUGUAGUUGCUGUAAUUAUUGAUGGACAAAGGUAUCACAUUUUCAGUUGUUUCUAAUAUUGUUUAGCCCAAUCAUUAAAGGCUCUUCAUACGGUGCUUAGACUGAGGCUAACACCCCAUUAUUUACUGGAUUCAAACUCCAGCAGCCCUGGACCCACAUUCACCUCUUUUCUUGUGUAUUCGGAUUACUAAGCCUUAAAAGUUGGCUCAUAAAAUUUGUCAUGGCACAUUAAGCCAAGUCCUGUGUUGUGGGCUUUAAAGACAGACCUUGAAAUUUGAUUUCAAAGUCUGAUACAGGACUGUUAUGCGUGUUUUUAAGGGUUUAGAUUAGCCUAAGACUAAGUUUGCACAUCUGAAAAACCUUUAUUAUACCUAUACAUUAAAAAAAUAUAUGAAAAUGGUGACUUGAGAGUUAUUAAAAAAUAGUUACUAAAAUCGGUCAGCAGUAUAACAACAUAAAUGUGAAACACAACAAGUAUAGAAUAAAUGUAAAAUAAUGUGAAGGGUAAGGUAAAGAAUGCAAAUGCAAAUAAUGCAAAGUUAUCCAGGCUUGUGGAAAUAUACAGGCAAAGUAAGGUGAAAGGCUUAUUAAUUAAAUAUGGCAUUUUAGUAUUUUUUAAAGCUAACUGCAGUGAAAUGUGGGCCCUCUCAUGUAGAAAAAAAAGAAAAUUAUCGAAUAAUAAAUAAUUAUAAUAAUAAAUAAAAUUAAAUGACAUGAAACUGAAACUUUAAACAAAAUCUAAAAUGAUCAGAUUAAAAAGUAGAUUUGAGAACUUGAAAUAAAUUGAUGUAAUGGAUUGGUCCACCUUACCACCAAAGGGCUUUUCACAGUAGACCAAGGAUAAUACUGUCAUCAGCUCAUUGUAGUGGACUGACAAUCUGGUCAGCAAAAAUAACUCAGCGGUUUACUGUACAGUGUAGUACAGAAGUCUUUUACAGAAAUUAAAAUAUUUUUUUUUAAUUAAAUCUAAAUUUAAGAUUUAAAAUAAUGUGGAGGGUAAGGUAAAGAAUGCAAAUGCAAAAGGUGCAAAGUCAUCCAGGCUUGCGGAAAUAUACAGGCAAAGUAAGAUGAAAGGUUAAUAACUUAAAUAUGGCACUAAGGUAUUUUUUAUAGCAUGUAUUGGUCCACCUUACCACCCAAAAGGCUUUUCACAGUAGUUAGACCAAGGCUAAUACUGUCAUCAGCUCAUUGUAGUGGACUGACAAUCUGGUCAGCAUUUUAGAUCCCAGUGUUUUCUUAUCCAAACAUUCACACUACUUGUCGUACUGAAAUGCUGGGUUGUCUUCACGAUGAUAGUUUCUUUUUUAAAAGUUUUCUACUAUGGAGAAAUACAUUUUAAGGAUAAGCAUAAAAACUUUGUUCCUCUAUGAAAUCCCUUCACACAGCUCGUAAACGAGCCCUGUGUUUGAGGAUUGUGACGGCAACCUUCAGCAGGGAUUGUUUCACACUGUAAUGCUGGGAUCACUGCUGUCCAAAACAUUAGCCCAAGACUAAGCACACGUGAAAAACCUGCAGUGUACCUACCAGCUGAAACCCAAAGUACAUCAUUAAUUUCUAAAACACGUCUUCUCUUGUAGGUAAAUUUGAGGGAUAUGGUGAGCAUAUUAAAAUGAGAAAUUCAGCUGCCUGCAACAACUGAAGUAACUGGUAUUAUUUCCCUUCAUCAGUGUUGGUCAUCUUUUGAUAUAAGGACAGAUACACAGUAAAAGGGAAAGAAAAUACUAAAAUAAAAUAGAACAAAUAAAGUCCAAGAAACAUAAAGGAAACUUAAAAUAUUAACAGAUAUCGACAACCGAUCACUGAAUGUAGAAAACAGGAUUCAAAACAAUAUAAGAGUAAUAGUUGUCCUGUCCUGAAGAAAAUCAGUCAGUUCUUCAAGUGAGUACUGUGUUCUGUCUGGGCACUUUUGUUCAAAACCAAAAGCAGAGCCCGCUACAGUUCAGAGUGAAGGUUUAGAGUGAGGUAAUGUUUUAACCUUUGACCUGUGGUUGUAGAAUCGCUGUGUGCAGUUAUCAGUGUUCGAGUUGACAGCAUCACUGGAGUCAGGGAAAGUUUAAAGCUGCAGUAAAGAUGAACUGAUGAUCUGAAUGUGAUGACAUCUGCUGCAGCUUGCUUCACAGGACUGCAGGACUUGUAGGAUCACCAUUAGUUAGCUGCACUUGCUACACCGUGGAUGAACAGACAGUGACUUGAAGUAGGAGAAUGUAGCUGGUUCAAAACAGGAAAUAAACAGAAACAUUUGUGUUGAUAAUCUGUGAAACUAAACACGUUGAAUAAAUACACACAUCAUUAAAAUGAAUACCUUCAGCACUGCAGCAGAGCAAAAAUAUUUCUGUCCAGAGCCACUUCACCAGGUCUGCAGCAGCAAAGCUUCCUCACACAGGGAGGCUCAAGGCGUAGGGUGGCUGCAUGAUGUCCACCUUGAGUGCAUUCAGCUGCCAGAGUAUCUGAGCUGUUCUUCCUCUCUUAACUGGCUUGAAGAAGACCUGAGAGAAAACACUGCUGUUAAAGACGAUGAUAUCAGCAGAGCUGUACAAUAGCGUCACAAGCAUUAAUACAGCAGCUAAGAUAACUAAGAAAAAAUAAAUGAACACAAGUUCACUAAGACAUUACCUCAGAUGUUCUUGAAGAGGGGUUUAUCUCUUGGAGGUUCAGCAGGAACGAGCCCAGUGAGUGACAGGUACUACAGCAUCAGUUCUGCUUCAGCCUGGUGUCUGGUGGUCCUUGAGAGCUGCUUCAGGACAUCUGGAGCAUGAGCAGGUAAAACACAUGUUUGUGUAGUCCAUGAGAGAAGGGUCCUGGUGGGUGCUGCAAUCUGUCCAGCACAGCGAUGAUGGUUGUUGAGAGCAGCAGGGGGAUGGUGUGGAGGAUGUCAUCUCUUCUUCACCUCUGACCAAAGACUGGGUUAAACAGCAGGUAGACUGUGUCUUUGAGUGGUCCAAAGUGAUGUGUUUACUUCUGGUUGACGGUUUGAUAAUUUUUUUCUGCUCAUAAGUGAGCUAGUCAGGACAGCACUAAUGGUCAGGUCAAAGAUGGCAGAGACAACUGAAGAAGAAAAAAAAAAUACCCAAACAAAAGGAAACUUAGCUUUACUCUACUGUACCUACAGGUGAUGUGUUUACUUUUGGUUGACAGUUUGAUAAUUUUUUUCAGUUUACAGUGAGCUAGUCAGGAUAGUACUAAUGGGGGUCAGGUUAAAGAUGGCGGGGACAACUGAAAAAAAUAAUAAUAAUAAAAAAUAAAAAAUAAAAACCUACCCAAAGAAAAGGAAACUUAUGUUUGCCCUAGUGUACUUACAGCCACCCAUGCUAAGAGAGUGGUGUAAAGUUGGGUGGAGAAAAGGGGGUUUCAGCUGGUAGGUAACAGAACAUCAGAAAGUGUGUGUUCAUUAGGGAACACACACUUUCUGAUGGAGGUUUUUAAUUUUAGCUGCUGUAUACAGUAUUGUACACAGCAGCUGAGAGUUUUGGCCUGUGCAUUUAACAAUCCGCACCCACCCUCCCUAUGUCCAGUCAAGUCAAGUUAAAUGGAUUAACUUGACUUGACUGGACUUGAUAAAUGCACAGGCCAAAAAUUGUCAUUUAUAACAUUUGAAUAGUUGGAAAAUUUUACAACCUGAAAAAUAUUUUCUAUCUAAAAAUUCUGAACCAUAAAAAUAUAUUUUGCACAAGUAAAAUUUACAAUGACCAAACACAUUUCAAUCUGUACUGAAAAUAUGAGCAUAACAGCCACAACUUCUCUGGUUUGUCUUUUCCUUCAGAGCAGUUUCCUCUAUGACCUGUUGGAUGAAAUGACACAGUAAGUGGCGUUGUGGUAACUGUAGUAGGUCUGCAUGAUACCUGAGGAGAGACAUAGCUGAGGUCGUGAGAUGAAGAUCAGGUCCAGCAGUGUGUUCUUGUCCGUUGUAGCAGCAGUGAUCAGUUGACCAUAUCCCUUGGACUGAAAGAAAUCCAGAAUUGGCUUACUUGCAUUAGAAAAGAGAUUCUCAUUGAAGUCGCCACAGACGAUGAUGGGAUGACAGUCCAUGAUCUCAAGUGAGUCCAGAAGGCUUCCCAGAUUGGACAGGAAUGAUGGCACACUGUAGUCUGGAGGUCUGUACACAGCUGCAAUCAGAGCACUUACAGGAUAUUCAACCUUCAAAGCCACAAACUCAAGGUCAGUCACAUUAUUCAGGUACUGUUUCUCCACAACCUGCAAAUGGUUUUUCACAUAAACAGCGACUCCACCACCUCCUUUACUGGCCAUCUGUGGAAAGUUAGUGUAGGACAAAUGUCUGUUGCGUUUGAACAUGGUGUAGCCUUCAAACUGGAGACUGUCCGCCACAAAGGAGCCCUGUAGGUGAGUUUCUGUCAGACACAAAACAUCUGCAAGACACAGUUCAUGAUGGCUUUUGAUGUCAUUCACAUGAGCAGGUAAUCCUUCGGUGUUGUGAUGAAUGAUGCUCACAGUGUCCUGUCUGCUGAGAGAAUGCUGGAACUGGAGAAAAGGCAUGAGGUGAUCAAAGUUAGCUUGCGUCAUGGUCUCCAAAGAUACAGUGACUGCAGGGUUAGCAUGGAUUUUACUCUCAUCCAAAUCAAGCAUGUGCAGUCCGCUGAGAGAGGUCACUCGACUGAUAGCUACGUAGGCCAUGCCGGGCUCAAAAAUGUGCUUCAGUGAGACAACAGCAGAUUUUCUGGUCAUACCUUGAACCUUGUGUAUCGUGCAUGCAAAGGCAAGUUUCACAGGAAACUGUCUGCGUACCACUCCUUUCUGUUGCAGAGCCUCUUCAGAUCUCUCGAUGUACACAAGAUUGUCUCCUCGAGUACGAUAGCUCCUGCCAGCUGUUUCAUCAUCCAUCUUGAGACCAAGCAUAGUGACAAGAGUAGAACUGUUGUUUUCAGAGCUUAUGAGACGGCCUACUGUAGCAAAUGAUCCGUUCACCAAUCCUUGAGACACAUCAAUGUUUCUGGUAAGCAUGACUCUAGCACCUACUGCAACAUCUAGGGUGUCAGGUAGAUCAUUUCUGCUUCCAUGACAUGGUGCACCUUGUCUUUUCAUGUGUCCAGUGUGUGGGUCUUUUUUAAAGUCAUCUGCAUCAAUGGUGGUGAUAUCAGAAUGGAGCAGAGAUAGUGUAGCAGAGUUGUGUGCUGCAACUUGUUUGUUUGUAGCAAAAAUGUGCAGGACAUCAGAGGGACACAGUUGUGGUUCAGUGACACGCUGUGACAGCAGAUCUCUGUCAGCUUCAGAAAGCUCAUCUGACCUUGUUUUCACACGGAGUCUGUUCAGCAUCUCGGCAAAAGUUUUGUCAUCCUUCUGUCGCAUGAUCUCAUCUAAAGUGAUCACCUGGAAGUUGUCUCUCCAGAGGUCAAGCUCACUUGGAUCAUAGACACAGAGUGGUUUGGACUGUCGCACAGGCGGUAGCUGGUAAAAGUCUCCCACAGCAAUGACUGACAUUCCUCCAAAGGGUCUGUAGCUGCCUUUAAUCUGUUUCAGUCUCAUAUCCACAUAGGCAAACAGAGGCUUCGACACCAUGGAGAUUUCAUCAAUGAUGAUGAUUUCAGCAUUUAAAAGCUCACACCUGAUUUCAUCAAGUUGGUUCCCAAGACCUUGAAAAGGAGGUUUCAAACUUCUGGGCAGCUUGAGGAGAGAGUGCAGUGUUGUUCCAGAGAUGUUAAAGGCUGCAGUUCCGGUGAAAGCAGUCAACAGCACAGUCGGGUUUGAGAUGUCAGCUUCUUCAGCACGUCUAGGUAGUGUUCUCAGAAUCUUUGAUGCUUCUGAAUGAAUGCAUUUAAUGAGAUGUGACUUUCCAGUGCCAGCACCACCAUUGAUGUAGUAGAAAAACUGCUCUGGUUGUGGUCCACAGACUCGUUUUAUGCACCAGUCUCUUACUGCAUAGAACACACAUGCCUGUUUCUGGUUCAGACUCUGAUACAUUUGUCGUAACCGUGUGGGAUCGAUUGUAGGGGGCUCUCUCAUGACUCUGGCCUCUGUAGCAGCAUUUGCUUGUCUGCUGUAAUCCGGUACAUCCUCUUGGACAUUUUCACACUGUCUGGCAUCCAGUUCAUCGAUACACUCCAACCUCACCAGUUCAGAUUCAGGUGCCAAAUUACACCAUUCAUCGACCACACCUCUGUUCUGUUCAAAGUCCUCGAGAGCAGAGUCAAUUUCCUCACUGUUUUUUUCAUAUCUCUCUCUGUUUCUUUUCACAAUGAGUUUCACACUCAGGGGUCGGUCAGAAUACGGCAGCUGAACCACACCUCUCUCAUAGAAUGACUCAUAUGUGGGAAAAUAUGGUCUUUUCAGCUCAUCGUCUGAUCUGUAUGGAAGAUACAGUCUAAGCAAUGUGCCGUAAAACUGCUCAGGGUAUUUCUCUUUGGAUAUGCGGCGAUACCUGAUGACAGCAGCGUUGUCACUUUCUCGUCUCUGUAUAAAGCCUAGUUCAUUCAGCAGAGGUAACACUUUCUUGCCCUUGGUCUGUUGUCCAUACACCAGUCUGCAGGUAGACGCAAAAUCAGCCAUGCACAUCUCUUCAAACUCUGGUGAUUCAGGUCUGGAUUUGUACUUGUCUGUUAAGGAUGUCAUCCACACAUUCAAGCUGUCUGGUGUUGUGUUGUCAAGGCUUGACACAGGCAGACUCAUUUUCACUGGGUUGUCAUCAGUUGGGACAAAAACCACACUGCGUGAACUCUUUUUCAUGUUCAGUGAAGUCACUCGGGCAACAGCUUCUUGUGCUGAUACUUCUCGCUUUUUGGAAUACGCCUGCAUGACCGCUUUCAUUUCAUCACAUUCAUUGACACAUUCUCUGUCGGAGUUCUGAAUGAGUGUCUGCAGGUACUGGCUCACAGAGUUCUCACUUUUACACAUGUACGUACAUAUGUAAUGGAUCAGACUGUAGUAGCUGAGAAUGAACUGCACAUCAAUGUUUGCAUCCCAAGCUUUGAGCAGGUGAGGGUUGUAGGUGUUUACCCAGCAGUCUUUUGGCUCACGCUUCAGAAUGAUGUUGCUGGACUGACUCAUCACAUUCAUGUGUUUCUCAUACUCAUCAGCGGUGAAGUCACAGACGGACAGGAGCUGUUGAAAACUCAUGGAUUCAGUUUGUGUCUCAUUCAGCAGCUGAUUCAGUGGUGCAAGUUUCUCUUUGGCUCUCUUAAGUCUCUCUGACUCCUCAUCAUCACCCACAGGUCUUGUUAUCAUUGUCUGUCUGGAGGGUGGUUUUGGGAAUCCAAAUCGGCAUCCAGAACUUGCACUUUUGAAACAUGUCUUUGAGUGGUUCUUACUGUGUAUUUGCACUUCUUUGACCUUUUUGUACAGUUCAGGCUGUUUGUUUGGGUCAGGGAGCUGAGCAGAGAUGUGUUUGGACACAAAGUCACACACAGUUUUGUCAGAGUCUCUCUCAAACACAGGUGCACCUUCUACCCACAAAAGACCAUGUAUAUGAGGACUUCCUCUGUGCUGAAACUCGAGACGCCAAAAGAAGUCAAAAACUUUGCCCAGGGGUUGUGCAGGAGACAUGAUCAGAUCUCUGUACAGUGCUUCAACACGCUUAUCAAACAUGCGCAUCGUUGUCACAGGAUUGCUUCUCAGAAUGUCACACUUUGUGGACCAGUCGAGCUCUUCAAAAUUCACCUCCUCACCUUGUUGUAAUUUUAUUGCAAUAAUCACCUCAGGCCAACGCAUUUCUGCUGCAGAAAAUGUGACAAAGAAAGUAGGACUGCCCAACUGCCUGAUCAUAGCAAACAGAUCUUUUGUAGUUUUGUCCCAGUAGGCUGGUGUUCCUCUGAGCGGCUGCAUAAAUCUGAUAGCAUCUCUGUUUCUCACCAGUCUCUCCACUUCGUAUUUGUCUCUCAACAUUCUGGAUGUUAUUUUACGUCCGUCUCUGGUCAAAGGUUUGCCUUUGCGUAACUGUAUUGACAUGCUGGAGGUAGCCAAGUGUAUUUCAGUCACAAACUGUGCAAAGAACAGGUAGUUGGUAUCUUUGGCAAAGCGAUCAUCAACACCAAAGAGCCUUGCUUUAAAAUAACUACUGGGUGAUAGUUUCAUUGGUCUGUUUUCAUCCAGUGUAUUCUCACCAGUGGGAAACUGAACAGGAAACGCCAUGGCCUCUAGUUUGGGUGUUUUGAAAAAACUGACUGGAUUGUUUCUCUCUGCUGGAGCAACUGAGUAUGUAGAGUCACUGAAACACAGUAUCUCCUCAGAAACAUCACGUGGCUGAAGGCACGACUCCAAAACAACACCACCAUUAGAUAUGUCUGCGUCCCGUUGUUGUGUCUGAUCAUCAUUGUCCUGGGUCUGACUUUUAUCACACAGCUCUGUGUUUUCAUCCUCAUUUUCAACAUUAGUUUCAGCGUCAUGCAUGGCAGCAGCCUCAAUUCUAUCAAUUUCCAUCAAAUCCUCAUCAUCAUAGUCGUCAUCAUUCAUUGUGUUAUCAUCAUCAUCCUCAUCCUCAUCCUCAUCCUCAUCACCAUCAUCAGGAAGUGUGGGGUCACAUAACUCCUCCUCAUCUCUAAUAGUGAUGUCUUCAUACUGGGGGUGUAUCUCUUUCAGUUUAUGCAGAGCCUGCACUAGCUUGGACCAGGUAACAGUCUGAAACAGAUGGUGACCUCUGUAACUCAAACGUCUCUUCAGUUUUACUCUCAUCACCUGAGACUCAUUUCUCAAUCUGGGUAGAGCCUGAAUUGUUUCCUGGACUUCAGAGGGAACACAUACAACAUUACCAUGUAUAGCUCUCUGUCUGCCUUUGGGAAGAGGAAUGAUUUUGGCAAAUGUUAUGCACUUUGCUAUCAGAUGUCUCUCCAGUAUGUUGAGGUCACACAGCUCAGGUGGUAUGUCAGCAAGCUCCAAGUUGUUUGCUAUGGCAAGUUUGGGCAUGGAUCCAUUUUUCAGAUGGUCAUGGCAGGUGUGACAAAUCCACUCAGUCUUUCUCUCAUCAGGGACAGUGCACUGAUUUCUGCAGUUAUCAUUACACUCAUGGACGUACUGACCUUUGAGACAAGCUGAAACCAAGACUGGAUUUUUCACAUAGUUGGACCUCUUGCACUUUUGUACCUGGUUUGGAAAUGAGGCUUUGUGGCAAACUGUGCAAACAUGGGUGGGACCAGCUUUAAUGUGGGAUCGGAAAUCAUUUAUGGCACUUUCAAUAAGUGGGUUUUCACUCUCUCUGUCAGUCUCACAUGUUUGUCUACUUAUCUGUUUGUAUUUCUUUGAUAUUUUCAAUGCACACCUCAUUUUAUGGAUAGUCCUGUAUGCAAGAUUUGUCUUAUACCUGUCUCGCAUAAUUUGUCUCAUCAGUUGUCUGUGUCGGUGAUGGAAUAUUUCAUCGUUUGCAUAUCGAUAAUUGACACAUAAUCGCUGUCUUUGCCUGAAAUUAACGUCCUCUGAGUAUUUUCUCCUGAUAUAUUCUUUUUGUCUGCCUUUGAAUUCAACAUUUUCUCUGUAUUUUCUUGUUAUACCUAAUUUUUGCUUCAGUCUGAAGUCUGUGCUUUCCCUGUAUUUAGUUGUGAUUUUUUGUCUUUUCUUUGUCUGUAUUUCAGGAUUGACAGAAUAUUUCUCACUUGAAUAAGACUUUUUCUUUGCUUUGUAUGUUUCAUCCUUAGCAUACUUUUUUCUCUCUUUCAUUUUUUUAUCCUCUUUCCCUUGUGAUGUCUUUUCAGAGGCCAUUAGUCUCCUCUUAUAUUUUUUCCUUUGUUCUUUGUUCAGUUUUGACAGCUUAAUGGAGAUGUCAUGAAGGACAUUGUCACUGGCAACAGGUAUAUUUAUUAAUGGUUGAGUCAAAUUUGAUUGAAUCUCCUGAGUUUCCUUUAAUGUGACAGAAUUAUUGCUGAUCUGACCUUGUUGAUGAGCUUGUUUUUCCGUCAGGGUUGAGACAUUCUGUGAUGUGUCAUGAGAGUCAUCACGUACAGUAGUGUUCAUCUCUGGAGCAAGAGAGUCAGGUCCAGCUGAUGUGACAGAACACUGGCUGAAGUCGAUCAGUGGUUCUGGUUCAGUUUCCAUGUCACAUUCAGUGUUUCCAUGGACAUCGGUGUUCAUCUGUAGAGCAGACGGACUUUCUGUGGCAGGGAAAGCAUCAUUUGGGUUCACAUCAUGAAACACAACUGGCUUAAGCUCAUAGCGACAGGACGCUGCUGUGCCCAAUAUGUGGUGAUACCUGAUGAGCCUGGCAAUCAUGUCACUGAGGCGUGUGAAUGUUACCAUGACAGCAGUACCAGGAGUAGGUGUGGCCUGAAGCAGAGGCAAACCGUUAGCUGUCCUAGCAUGUGGGUCAAAGAAACCGUACCUGCCAUCUCUGGUUCUGAAAACUGCAAUGCACAGUGAAGUCAUUAACAGCAAAGCAUACUGCACAUCUGAUAAUAAGCAGCUCAGUCCUGAAACGAGGUCCAGAAAGGUAUCAACAGCUCCGGGAUCCGGAUCUCCAAACGUACCGUAUCUAGACAGCUGUAACAUGUCAACACUCUGCGUGUGUCUGCGUGCAGGAACCUGGUGAGGGAGCUCAUCGGUUGUCAGAAAGUUGUGAUCACGAACAGUUUUUCUGACUUCUCUGUACAUCACAUCACCUUUAUCCAAAACACGGUCCAGGUCUGCUCUGGUGAUGUGUUCGCUCUCAUACAGGAAUGCUAGAAAUGUCAGUGAGUUACAGGUGCACUGCUGGUUUCUGGAUUGGCCAUAUUUCAGAGACGCUUGGCUGCGUGACGCACAGACACUUAGUUCACCUGACUGACUAACAGCGUUCACAUUUCUUACCUGAGAAGAGCCUGAUACAGACUUAUAAUUACUGUGGUUUCCCUUUUUAACAGUGUCUGUAUAUGGUACCUGGGUUGAAAAUGGCUUGUCAGUUUGGGUUAUGCGGUUUAUAUGAACAGAGUUGGAUGGACUGGGAGUGCAUGAUACACUAGGAAGUUUUCUCUUCAACAUGUCUGCAUAUGUUACCUGUUGUACACCUGGAUCAUUAGUUUCACCUCUGUGGUUUACCUGUUCAGAGUUAGACGGACCUGCUGCAGGUGACUCACUUAAACGUCUCCUCUUAAGCUUGUCUGCAUGAGAUACCUGUGAUUGACAUGACGCACUUUGACCUCCCUGUUUCACAGCAUCAGAUACUUCAGACCCCUUUACCUCUCCACUGCUCUGAGGAAUACCAUCUGCUUGUCCAGUACUCACAUGGUCAAUGUCAUGAAACCUCUGCCAGCGCUGGCUUGCAACCUGUGACCUCUUACUCUUCCUCGGCAUUGUAGCUGUCCUUUCACAACAAUGUGUUUAUUCAACAAUUUAAAGUUAAUGAUAAGCACCAGUAUAGACAAAAUGCUUUAUUUCUUAAAGAGAGGAGGUUAUUUAACAGCUCUUAUAGUCUCCAAAAUAUCUAAUAUAAAACUGUGUGUAUACCACAAUAGUUUAUCAAAUGUUUUAAAAGAAAAUCCUUGACAAGACUAUAUAAAUGUUUUCAGAAAAAACACAAAUCAACAAUUUUGUAAAUCUUAGAACUUUGUACUUGAAAUAAUAUGUAACUCAAAUAUUCUAUAUGAAAAGUGUUUAUUUUUUUCUUUCAAAAUCAGGGACGCAGAUGUGGUGGUGCUGAUGACACUUCUGGUGAAACUCUGGAUCCACAGACAGGAAAGGAAAACCUAGAACAACAAUCAGACUUGUGCAAAAUUAGGGAUUUUUUUUCAAAACAGUGGUUGUAUUAAAUGUACAGCUUUUCAAAAGUUUGGUUUCUCAAAAAAAGGUAGAUUUUAUAAAAAGGUUUCUCAAAAAAUUUUGAUUUGCUACAAUAGGUCUCAAUGAUUUGUUACAAUAGGCCUCAAUGAUUUGUUAAAAUAGGUCUCAAUGAUUUGUUACAAUAGGCCUCAAUGAUUUGUUACAAUAGGUCUCAAUGAUUUGUUACAAUAGGCCUCAAUGAUUUGUUUCAAUGGUAUCAAAGAUUUGUUUCAAUGGCAUCAAAGAUUUGUUUCAAUGGCAUCAAAGAUUUGUUUCAAUGGUAUCAAAGAUUUAUUCAAGGAUUGUAUCAGUAGCCAGAGUGGGAUAGAAGGGGGAUAGAAAGACAGAGUGGCUUUUCAAUCAGACAGAGCGGUAGAGGAGACAGGAAAGACAGAGCGACCAAAAUGAUAGGGGAGAGUGGGGAGACUGGGGAGACUGGACAGGAUACCUGUAAGACACAAUGGAAAAAAACAUUAAUCUUUUAUUAAAGAAAUAAAAUUAAAUGAACCAACAUCCACCCAAAGCUUAUCACAUUAUAAUGUGCUUUUACUCAACCCACCAAGUGGCUGCCCUCAACUAUGCAUCUAUCAAAAGUCAAGUUGAGUCAAAAGCUGGAAGUGACCAUUGUCUUGUUCGAUAACCCCUCAAUCAAGUUCAUAAGGACUAAAAAUCCAAAGUGUUCAUAAGAGUUAAUUAAAACUUUAGAAUACGAAGAACUUCAUAUGUGAAUCAUAGCACACUGUCUUAUUCCUGAAAGUGUCAUUCCUGUGUGAACUUACGUCGAGUCGCCACAGAGCGGUCUGCACUUGGACAGGACAGGGGAGAGUGGGGAGAGUGGGGAGACUGGACAGGAUACCUGUAAGACACAAUGGAAAAAAACAUUAAUCUUUUAUUAAAGAAAUAAAAUUAAAUGAACCAACAUCCACCCAAAGCUUAUCACAUUAUAAUGUGCUUUUACUCAACCCACCAAGUGGCUGCCCUCAACUAUGCAUCUAUCAAAAGUCAAGUUGAGUCAAAAGCUGGAAGUGACCAUUGUCUUGUUCGAUAACCCCUCAAUCAAGUUCAUAAGGACUAAAAAUCCAAAGUGUUCAUAAGAGUUAAUUAAAACUUUAGAAUACGAAGAACUUCAUAUGUGAAUCAUAGCACACUGUCUUAUUCCUGAAAGUGUCAUUCCUGUGUGAACUUACGUCGAGUCGCCACAGAGCGGUCUGCACUUGGACAGGACAGAGUUGGCAAAAAGGAAAAUGGAAAAAUUGAGAUAAGAGAGUUUUAGUUUAAUUGUAGAAAACCAGCACAUCUCACUGCAUUGCAGUUUCAACCGUAAUCAGCCGGCAAAAUUAAUUGUUAUUUAAAAUUGUUUGUGUUACAAUGAAAAUGUGUUGCAGUUUGUCAAAUAAGAACAUAAUGUCAGGUUUUUACAUGAUAUGUUUAAAAAAGUAACAGUGUAAACAUUUUUAAGUUACUUUAUUUGUGAACUUACAGCUGAGUCGCCAACAGUAAAUAGGGCCAGCAGUAGAGAUAGCAUCGAGUUCAGGAGAGAAAAGACAGGGACAAAAAAUAAAUAAAUUUAGUUGCAAAAAAAAUCAGCAUCUUAUAGUUUACUGCAAUCACAACUUUUCACUGUGUAUCAUUACUUUUCUCAUUUCUUAUCAAAGUCUACAAUUUGUGGCAUUUGAUUAGUAAAAGGAUGUUACUGCAGCUCCCUUGGCCUGUAAAAAAUGUUUGUUACAAUGGAGAGAAAAUGCACAAACACAAUGAAGGACCUCUUCACUUUUUACUUUCUUAUGCAAGUCAUUGAGGUGAAAUACAAAACAGUGAAAUAUAAUUAUAAACUGCAGAGCAAAAAUGUAACAUUUAAGUGAUUGCCCAGUAAGUAUAUAUAUAUAUAUACCAUGAGGUCCAUAAAUAUUGGGACGUCAACACAAUUCUCAUCUCUCUGGCUGUAAACACCACCACAUUGGAUUUGAACUGAAACAAACAUGGUGUGCUUUGACUGCAGACAUUCAGCUUUAAUUUAAGGGUAUUUACAUCCAAAUCAGGUGCACGGUGUAGGGCAAAGAAGUGGAAUGUUAUGAAAUGGCCAAGUCAAUCACCUGACCUGAAUCCGUUUGAGCAUGCCUUUCACUUGCUGAAGAUAAAACUGAAGAGAAAAUGCACCAAGAACAAGCAGGAACUGAAGACAGUUGCAGUCGAGGCCUGGCAGAGCAACACUAGGGGUGAAACCCAGCGUCUGGUGUAUCUAUGCGUCCGGUGUAUCUAUGCGUCCUGGACAGCAAAGGAUUUGCAACCAUAUAUUGAAAAGUGAAAGUUUGAUGUAUGAUUUUUGGUUUGUCCCAAUACUUUUGGUCCCUUAAAAAGUGAGAGGCACAUAUAGAAACUGUUUUAAUUCCUACACUUUUCACCUAAUGUGGAUGUAAAUAACCAUAUAUUAAAGCUGAAUGUCUGCAGUCAAAGCACAUCUUGUUUAUUUCAUUUAAAGUCAACUGUGGUGGUGUUUACAGCCAAAGAGAUGAGUAUUAUGUUGAUGUCCCAAUAUUUAUGGACCUGACUGUAAGCGUGAACUUACACUUCAGAGUUGGUAGGGAUUUUCGCCCAGGUCAGAGGACAAGUUGAGGCAGGAGGAGGGGGAGAGGGAGGGAAAGAGAUUUUUUAAUACACUAAAAAAAACACUUCAUUCAAAAUUUAUCUGAAUGAUUUUCGCACUUAAUUAUUGUCACAAUCAAGAUUCAGACUUUCGCCAGCAUUUUUUAAAUAAAUUAGUUCAGUAGUGUAGUAAUAUUGUUAGCACACUAUUGUCUUCUAGGAAAAAACUGUAUCCCAUCUUUGAUUUUCAUAUAGGAUAUACAACAGUGUUACAGAUAGAUCAACAUUUCGUAUAAAUUUAAACUCAGUACUUGAAAAAUGCAUCAUAUGUUGUAGAUUAUCUUGAAUGACAUGUUGUUAAACAGGAUUAAGCUAAUCAUUAAUCCAGUUAUUUUUAUUUUGUUUGUUGUCAGUCUUGGUCAAAACACUUAUACUUACCAACAAAUGCACUGGUGAGGAUGUUCUUCUGUUUGUUUGAGACAAGAAACAAUACAUUAGUGUUGUCUGACAGAUAGUACAUUAAAAACAAUAGGCCUAUAAAGAAAACUAACAUUAUUACAGUAGUUGGGCUAAUUGAAAACUAAACAGCUACAACAGAUCACCUGGCUGUUAGCUGCAGCUGAAAAUGUCACACAUAAUACAUACUGUAUUAAAGUAUAUACACCUCAGAUAAAGUAUCUUUGCUGUGGUGUUAGCACAUCACCAAUAUCCAAAUUAACAGCUUGUUAUCAAAAGAAAAGAAGGUACAGUAGAAGGUGAAGUUCAGUAGCAGCCAGCAAGACAGAGACAGACCAGGAGCAGGUUCACCAAUUUCAAGGCAGCUGACUCUCCAUCCAUCAACUCAAUAUUAAGAUAAGAACUUUAUUGAUCCCUAAAGGGAAAUUCAACUGGAAUAUAUUUAUUAAUUGGAACUUUGUAUUGUUAAACAUUAAAUACUGAAUUAAUUUUACGUUUUGCAACGUAAAUAUCUCUAUCAUCCCCAUCAUGAAUACAACCUUCAAUAACAGAGGACCAUCUAGGUCCAUUCUGACACAUAAAAUAAGGAAAACCACUCACAUUUGUGCUAUACCUGGAUGCUUGCUAAAUGCAGCCUAUGUUUUAAUACAUCUACAAUGGCUGAUAACAAGUGACCAGGAGCUAAACAGCUGACGUCUCCAGACCAGUUCCCCAGCAAUGACUCAGUCACAGUAAUGAACUGAACUUGUAGCAAUGGCGCUAGCAUCAUUAGUUAGCUAGUUAGUCAGUUAAUACUUGACAAUAUGAGUAUUCUUGUCAGUCCCAUUGUCAGUGAACUCCACAGCCUGUACAUCAUUUGGCAUGCUUUAUAGUACCACAGCGGCUUACAUAUUCACUUUAUUUUGUGCUCAGCUGGCUAAUGAUUCAGCCUCACAGCUGAAGGUAUGUUAGCUUUAACGUUAGCUCGACGCUAGCGGCGCUAACUCGACGCUAGCGGCGCUAACUCGACGCUAACAGCGUUGGCGUAUGCUUUUUCAACUCAUUAUCUCGACCACUUCAAUCAUGAAUGAACUCUUCUUUGAUUAUAACUCAAACCAGUGCCAUUUGAACCGUUAAAUCACCGUUUGAAGUGUUCAGAAGUUAGAGAGACUGUGCUCUGACUCACCUUCGUCGAGGUCGGAGAAGGAUAGCGCGAGCCACCAGUGAGUGACGGUAGAAAUGUUUGAGGCGUUCAGGGACACUCGGAAAUGUCAUACUUCACACCACGGAAAGGCAGUGGUUCAAUCAAUUCAUUUUAAUUGUUUUCUGGUACUAAUAGUAGCAAGACUAGUUGAAGUAGAAGUGAUAUAAGUAGUAGUUGUAGAAGUGGAAGUGGGAUUUUGUUUAAAGAAUUGAAAUAUGCAUGAAUAGUAAAAAUGAUUUAAAGUGGGGAAAAUAUAACUAAAAAAAAAACCUAAAGUAUUAGAAAGGUUUGAAGAAUCAGAGAGGUUUAAAUAAGAAUGAGUUUAAAUUUGUUAGAAGAAUUGAAUAAUGCAUAAAUAAUGAGAAUGAUUUUAAAUUAAGGACAAUUUAAAUGAAUAGAAAUCCUCCGUAGACUCCAUAAUGUCCUCAAUGAGCUGAAUUUUUGAAGCCCUAAAUGUCUCUGUAUCUCAAAGUUUGUGAGAGAAGAUAGGUGGUGAAGCAGACACAUGGUCAAAGUAUGUUUAGGUCUCAUAGACAGAGAGAGACUCACGCAUGCACAUAAUUACUGUGUGUACAUGAAGGUCUCAUAGAGAGAAAGAGGCUGAAGCACACACAUUGUCAGACUGUGUGUGGAUGUCUCGUUAAUGAUUUAAUCCUAAACAGCUGUGAGAUCAAAAGCAUUACCUGACCUACUGUUUGAAUGAGAAGCAGCUGAACUGCAGAGGCUUUAAAGCAUCUGAACUUCUUCACAUAGCGGGAUUUCCUUAAAUCCCAGAAUGAAAAUAAGAACAUCUUACGAAUCCUCCGCCCUUCAUGAACACAAUGAUGUGUUUUUCAUGUCUGUACUCCGAAAAAUGUGGCCACAACAGCGAGUUAAAAAAGUCUGAGCCUGAGUGACGAUAAGGAUUUUCUUGGAGAAGAAAUACAUUAGGUCUAAUGGGAGAGAUUUCUGCCUUUUUUGGACAGUUGGUCACCUGCUGGCCAAGGGGUAGGAUUUAAUGAUUUGAAACCUCUUUUGUGAGAAGCAGGACACAUAUACCUCCAUUUUGAUGUAUUUUUUAUGGCUGUGGAGUGAGAUUUGUGGGCGUGGGAGCGAUAUAUUUGAGCAAGGUUCUGUCGAUCAGAGACGAGCUCUGCACUCUAGCUGAUGACAUCAUCACUCUAAACUCUCCAAUACACACCCAUUAUAAAGCUUGAAAUUUGCUGAAAACCACAAGUUGCAUAAAGCCAAAUUGUGGAAAAACUGUAAAAGAUAUCAAAAAACUGAGUACAACUGUAAUAGUCGACAAGUGAAUGAACAUUUUAAAGCAAAAAUGAGGUCUCUAGGUGAAAGUAUGCUGAAGUUAUAAGGCUUUGAAGGUGGAAGAAUAAAAGGAAGAAUUGGAAGAUUUCCCCAUUGACUUCAAUGUUAAAAUUUUUGCACAAAAAGUUAAAAAAAACAAAAAGUAUAAAUGUUAGAAAAGUGAAAAGUAAUAGCAAACGUGUCCUGAAGGAGUGGAAUAGUUUAAAGUUUGAACGGUUGAAAUCGCACAAACUGGGAAGGAGUUGAAAGCGGACGAAAAACGGCGGAAGAAUAAUAAUAACUAGAAAAAUUGCAUUUCCUUGCAGAAAAUGCGUGGAAAUGCUGAGUGCUGAAAGCUGAAAAAGCAAUGCUAAACUGCUAAUAAAACAUGGAGAAAGGUAUAAAUGUUAAAGCUGUUGAAGGGGUGAGAAAGAAAUGUAAGUUGGAUAAUUGAUUAAUUGGUUGAAGGACAAAUAGUAUGAAUAUGCUCUAUAAAAGGAAAUUCUAUUCAUGCUGAAAGAGGCUAGAAAAAUGUCUAAAAUUGCACAAAGUUUGAAUGAAGAAGGAAAUUGCCUUAAAAGGCAGGAAGGUGAGAAGUGGUAUAAGUUUAAGUUGUAGUACUAGAAGUAGUAUGAUAAGAAGUCAAGUAGUGAUACUAGUAGUCAUGUCAGCAGUAUAAGUUGUUUGAGAAUAAAAGAAGUCAAAGUAGUAAACACCCCAUAAUGUCCUCAAUGAGCUUAAAUGUUAAAGCCCUGAAUGGUUUCUGUAGGUCAAAGGUCAUGUGAGGAGAUAGGGGCUGAAGUUUUUUCAAGCGCUCUAGGAAGGGUUUUAAGUGUCAUCCCCAGUCCUAUGUGUACUGAGCUUGGCUUCAUGUGUCUCAUAUGGCCAUUAGAAGCAGCUUUCCAGUCAGCUGUGUGUCUCCAGGUGCACAAAUUGGUUGCCAUGGGGACCUUGGAUGCAUAACUAUAGCAGGAGAAAGAAGGCUUAAAGCUAAGGAAACAGGACUCCAAGUAGGCCCUGACGCUCACCCUCUGUAUAUAUUCAUAAGGAGCUUGUGAGAACACAAGACUCUGCUGAACACAUUAAUACAAUUUAUUAUCACAAUCUUCAAAACACCCCAUAAUAUCUUCAAUGAGCUGAAUUUUAGAAGCCCAGAAUGGUUUCUGUAGCUCAAAGUUUGUGGGUGGAGAUAGGUGGCGAAGCAGACACAUAUUAAAUGUGUGUACAAGCAGCUGAACUGCAAGGUAGACCUCACAAAGCAACAAGUACAAGAAUGUGUGUUUGUGUGUGUGUGUGUGUGUGUGUGUGUGUGUGUGUGUGUGUGUGUGUUUGUGUGUGUGUGUGUGUGUGUGUGUGUGUGUCUCGUUAAUGAUUGCAUCCUAAACAGCUGUAAGAUCAAAGCCAUGAACUGACCCACUGUUUGAAUGGAGAAGCUGCUGAACUGCAGUGAAUUUAGGGUUCUGAACUUCUUCACAUAGCACGAUUUCCUUAAGUCCCAGAAUGAAAAUAAGAACAUCGUACAAAUCCUCCGCCCUUCAUGAACACAAUGAUGUGUUUUUCAUGUCUGUACUCCGAAAAAUGUGGCUACAACAGCGAGUUAAAAAAGUCUGAGCCUGAGUGGCGAUAAGGAUUUUCUUGGAGAAAAAAUACAUUAGAGCCAAUGGGGAGAGAUUUCCGCCUAUCUGGACAGUUGGUCACCUGCUGGCCAAGGGGUAGGAUUUAAUGAUUUGAAACCUCUUUUGUGAGAAGCAGGACACAUAUACCUCCAUUUUGAUGUAUUUUUUAUGGCUGUGGAGUGAGAUUUGUGGGCGUGGGAGCGAUAUAUUUGAGCGAGGUUCUGUCGAUCAGAGACGAGGUCUGCACUCUAGCUUUUCAAAUCAUCACUCUAGCCUCUCCAAUACACCCCCAUUAUAAAGCCUGAAAAUUUGCUGAAAACCACGAGGUGCUUCAAGCUAAAUUGGGGGAAAACUGUAGAAGAUAGCACAAAAAAGU
rnacentral:lncRNA from 1 species